UACAGAGGUCCCAAGCGUUGUUCGGAUUCAUUGGGCGUAAAGGGUGCGUAGGCGGCGCGGUAAGUCGGGUGUGAAAUCUCGGAGCUUAACUCCGAAACUGCAUUCGAUACUGCCGUGCUUGAGGACUGGAGAGGAGACUGGAAUUUACGGUGUAGCGGUGAAAUGCGUAGAUAUCGUAAGGAAGACCAGUGACGAAGGCGGGUCUCUGGACAGUUCCUGACGCUGAGGCACGAAGGCUAGGGGAGCAAACGGG
rnacentral:rRNA from 1 species